GGCUCGGUAGCUUAGUUGGUAAAGCACUUGUCUCGCGAAUAAGGGUCGUGAGUUCAAAUCUCACCUUACCUG
rfam:Aedes albopictus isolate Foshan contig130968, whole genome shotgun sequence.